rnacentral:rRNA from 1 species
AUUGAACGCUGGCGGCAGGCUUAACACAUGCAAGUCGAGCGGGGGAAGGUAGCUUGCUACCGGACCUAGCGGCGGACGGGUGAGUAAUGCUUAGGAAUCUGCCUAUUAGUGGGGGACAACAUCUCGAAAGGGAUGCUAAUACCGCAUACGUCCUACGGGAGAAAGCAGGGGAUCUUCGGACCUUGCGCUAAUAGAUGAGCCUAAGUCGGAUUAGCUAGUUGGUGGGGUAAAGGCCUACCAAGGCGACGAUCUGUAGCGGGUCUGAGAGGAUGAUCCGCCACACUGGGACUGAGACACGGCCCAGACUCCUACGGGAGGCAGCAGUGGGGAAUAUUGGACAAUGGGGGGAACCCUGAUCCAGCCAUGCCGCGUGUGUGAAGAAGGCCUUAUGGUUGUAAAGCACUUUAAGCGAGGAGGAGGCUACUUUAGUUAAUACCUAGAGAUAGUGGACGUUACUCGCAGAAUAAGCACCGGCUAACUCUGUGCCAGCCGCCGCAGUAAUAC